rnacentral:rRNA from 1 species
UACGUAGGGUGCGAGCGUUGUCCGGAUUUAUUGGGCGUAAAGAGCUCGUAGGCGGUCUGUCGCGUCGGAUGUGAAAACCCAGGGCUCAACCCUGGGCCUGCAUUCGAUACGGGCAGACUAGAGUACGGCAGGGGAGACUGGAAUUCCUGGUGUAGCGGUGAAAUGCGCAGAUAUCAGGAGGAACACCGGUGGCGAAGGCGGGUCUCUGGGCCGAUAUUGACGCUGAGGAGCGAAAGCGUGGGGAGCGAACAGG